AUUUACAAAACAAAAAAUAGUUCAUUCUUGUAAAUUGUACUUGAUGAAAUUUCAUUUCAUAUUAUUUAUUAAUAAUUCAAAGCAAAAAAGGCUUAUUACAUCUGAAUUGUCAAAAAAUGACAGCUGUCAGAAUUCCGUCGAAUUAAAAAUCGGACUAUAGUCGAUGGUACAGCGCAAUGGAGGCAUGAGCGAAACAACAAUUAAGUUGACAAUCCAGCUGGUUUUGGUGUAAAUCUAAGGAAUUAUUUACUUUGACACUAUCUCCCUGCUCUCAAUGAAAGCUUGUUUUGUUUUGUUUUUUGGAACUAAGACUACUAGAUUAUUAUUUUUUGUAACUAAGUUUGUAACACGUCAUAAUUAAUUAUUAUAACAACAAUGCUUAUUUACUAAAGCUGUUUAACCCUACCCUCUGACCCAAAAUUCUACUAACAGCACAUAAUAUUGAAUUAUCAUUUUUUUUAUGGUUUGCGGCUCAAUUUAUUCAACGCACAGGAGUAUGUGUGGCAUGGCAUGCAAUGAAUCUAUUUAUUUUUACAGGUUACAGCUCAUGAUCUUAUAUGCACAACAUGUUGGACCCAAGCCCAAAAUACAACACAAAUGCAUCUACUUCAAAUCUUAGCAGAAAAUGUGUGCUUUGCAGUAGAACACUAGAGCCUAGAACACGUUCACAUCAGCUCAUGUCCCUGAGAACUAACACUCAACAUCAUAUUAACAUCAGGAACAUAAUUGUGGAACGACUAACUCCAUUAGAGGUUACUGCAAAUGACUAUAUCUGUGGGGCUUGUCACUCAUUAUUGCAAAGAGAUACCACACCUACUUCACAAGACUCUCCAGAUAUGCCAACCGGUGCCCCGGUAGGUCACCAACAAGUUUGUGUUGGAUGUGGUUGUUCAUUAUUGCGAACUUGAAGUCAUUGUUUGGAUACAGAGAAUAAUCAAGAUAUAUUAAACAUUGUUCGAAAUUGGAUUCAACCCAGAGAGAUUCGUCCUUCAGAUCUUCUUUGCCAUAGAUACUAUCAGAGAGCACGAAUUACUACAGUUGGUGCUUAUUUAAUGAAGCUGAGGACCGGUGAUUCAGAUGACAGAAUAGCUACAUUACUUGGCAUUUCAAGGAGUACUCUUACAAAAUAUGUAAUGAAAGCACGCAGUAUGAUGGAGGAACAUUUCGUACCAGCACAUUAAGGCCCGGUUUUUUGAUAGGGUUACAACAUAUUAGUAGAGAGGAAGUAGCCCAAAGAAACCUUUAUGUUCCAGUCUCUUUUCGGGAAGCCAGGAAACGAUUUACCACAAAGAAAGGCUAUUGUCAUCAUGGAUGGUACAUACAUACAUUUAUGUGCAAAAAAGUAGCAAUUAUGCAUACCAAAAAAAAAACUUAUUCCCUAUACAAAUAUCGGAAUCUCGUUAAACCAUUUAUGGUACUUUGUUGUGAUGGCGACAUCAUUGAUGUAUUGGGCCCAUAUUUAAUAGAAAAUGUAGAACAUGACCAUUAAUA